GGGUGUGUUGCUCAAUGGUGGAGCAUGUGCUUGGCAUGUGCAAGGCCCUGAGUUCAAUCUCAGCACCA
rnacentral:tRNA from 1 species